AUUGAACGCUGGCGGCAUGCCUUACACAUGCAAGUCGAACGGCAGCACGGGGCAACCUGGUGGCGAGUGGCGAACGGGUGAGUAAUGCAUCGGAACGUACCUUUCAGUGGGGGAUAACGUAGCGAAAGUUACGCUAAUACCGCAUAUUCUGUGAGCAGGAAGGCAGGGGAUCGCAAGACCUUGCGCUGAUUGAGCGGCCGAUGUCAGAUUAGCUAGUUGGUGAGGUAAAGGCUCACCAAGGCGACGAUCUGGAGCGGGUCUGAGAGGAUGAUCCGCCACACUGGAACUGAGACACGGUCCAGACUCCUACGGGAGGCAGCAGUGGGGAAUUUUGGACAAUGGGGGCAACCCUGAUCCAGCCAUGCCGCGUGAGUGAAGAAGGCCUUCGGGUUGUAAAGCUCUUUCGGCCGGGAAGAAAUCGCACGGGCUAAUACCCUGUGUGGAUGACGGUACCGGAAUAAGAAGCACCGGCUAACUGCGUGCCAGCAGCCGCCGCGGUAA
rnacentral:rRNA from 1 species